CAGUCGCCGCGGUAAUACGAAGGUUGCAAGCGUUAAUCGGAAUUACUGGGCGUAAAGCGUGCGUAGGCGGUUUGUUAAGUCUGCUGUGAAAUCCCCGGGCUCAACUCGAAGUCUGCACGGAAAACUGCCGGGCUUGAGUAAGGGAGAGGUGAGUGGAAUUUCCGGUGUAGCGGUGAAAUGCGUAGAUAUCGGAAGGAACACCUGUGGCGAAAGCGGCUCACUGGACCAUAACUGACGCUGAGGCGCGAAAGCUAGGGGAGCAAACAGGAUUAGAUACCCGCGUAGUCCCUGUCUCUUAUAC
rnacentral:rRNA from 1 species